CCUUCCCGUAGCCGUUUUUCAAACUCCUC
rnacentral:sRNA from 1 species